rnacentral:rRNA from 1 species
UACGGAGGGUGCAAGCGUUAAUCGGAAUUACUGGGCGUAAAGCGUGCGCAGGCGGUUUGUUAAGUCUGUUGUGAAAUCCCCGAGCUCAACUUGGGAAUUGCAAUGGAUACUGGCAGGCUGGAGUAUGGUAGAGGAAGGUGGAAUUCCCGGUGUAGCAGUGAAAUGCGCAGAUAUCGGGAAGAACACCCGUGGCGAAGGCGGCUCUCUGGGACGGUACUGACGCUGAGACGCGAAAGCGUGGGGAGCGAACAGG